CCUUCUCCUCUUGCCCUCAAUCUUUCCCAGCUAAUAGUGAUAUAUAAUUCACUGAUUCAUAAUUCUGCAAAAGUAUUGUACUGCAGGCAAAAUUAGAAUAUCGGAGCAAUUUCUGAAAGAGGGACUAAGUGCCCAAAGAUACAUCAGAGUUUGCAAAAAGAGUUUGCCCAGCCUCAGAGCCCACCUUACUGCCUCUGUUCUCUCCACAGUUGAACUUUCUGCCGCCUCAGCCUCCAUCUCUUCAGCUGAGGCCAACCUCCAUCCCAUCAGUUCACUGAGGCUGGCCUCUCCUCCACGUGCCUCUGGGACCAUAGCCUCCUCGAGCUUUGUGCGUUCUCUUGCCUGAGCCCAGGCCCAAUCAUGCCCCUGCCUGCUGGCGGCUCCGAGGCCUCAGGGACCCCAGACUGACUACCUCAUGCUUCUCUUUGCUUAGAAGCCUUGGAGGGGCUUCCCAGAUGGCUCAGCAGAGCCUGUGCUUUGCAGCAAGAGAAGCCACCACAAUCAGAAGCCUGCACACAGCAAUGAAGACUAGUCCCUGCUAGCUGCAACUACAGAAAGCCUGCUCUCAGCAAUGAAGACCCAGUGCAACCGAAAAAUG
ensembl:lncRNA